rnacentral:rRNA from 1 species
CAGUCGCCACGGUAAUACGAAGGGGGCUAGCGUUGUUCGGAAUUACUGGGCGUAAAGCGCACGUAGGCGGAUAUUUAAGUCAGGGGUGAAAUCCCGCAGCUCAACUGCGGAACUGCCUUUGAUACUGGGUAUCUUGAGUAUGGAAGAGGUUAGUGGAAUUGCGAGUGUAGAGGUGAAAUUCGUAGAUAUUCGCAGGAACACCAGUGGCGAAGGCGGCUAACUGGUCCAUAACUGACGCUGAGGUGCGAAAGCGUGGGGAGCAAACAGGAUUAGAUACCCCGCUAGUCCCUGUCUCUUAUAU